AAUGAACGCUGGCGGCGCGCCUAAUACAUGCAAGUCGAGCGAGAAGACGUAGCAAUACGUUUGUAAAGCGGCGAACGGGUGAGGAAUACAUGGGGUAACCUACCCUCGAGUGGGGAAUAACUAGCCGAAGGUUAGCUAAUACCGCGUACGCUCCUUGGACUUCGGUUCAGGGAGGAAAGCGAUACCGUGGGUAUCGCGCUCUUGGUUGGGCUCAUGUCCUAUCAGCUUGUUGGUGAGGUAACGGCUCACCAAGGCUUCGACGGGUAGCUGGUCUGAGAGGACGAUCAGCCACACUGGCACUGCGACACGGGCCAGACUCCUACGGGAGGCAGCAGUAAGGAAUAUUGCGCAAUGGGCGAAAGCCUGACGCAGCGACGCCG
rnacentral:rRNA from 1 species